CCUACGGGAGGCUGCAGUGGGGAAUAUUGGGCAAUGGAGGCAACUCUGACCCAGCAACGCCGCGUGAAUGAUGAAGGUCUUCUGAUUGUAAAGUUUUUUUCUAAGGGAAGAAGAAAGUGACGGUACCUUAGUAAUAUGCCUCGCCUAACUACGUGCCAGCAGCCGCGGUAAUACGUAGGAGGCAAGCGUUAUCCGGAAUGACUGGGCGUAAAGGGUGCGUAGGUGGUUUGACAAGUUAGUAGCGAAACUCCGGGGCUCAACUUCGGAACUACUGCGAAAACUGUUGGACUUGAGUGCAGGAGAGGCGAUCGGAAUUCGUGGUGUAGCGGUGGAAUGCGUAGAUAUUAGGAAGAACACCGGUGGCGAAGGCAGAUUGCUAGACUGUAACUGACACUGAGGCACGAAAGCGUGGGGAGCAAACAGGAUUAGAUACCCCAGUAGUC
rnacentral:rRNA from 1 species